rnacentral:misc_RNA from 1 species
AUGAAAUGUUAGGAUGCUCUUUUUAGAGGUCCGACCCAUUACAUUUUCACACACUGUGCACACACUACUUUUUACACCCAUUUUAUAACUCUGUAAAAGAAUGUACAAAAGUCUCUUGAUUGAGCACAAAAUUUAUAUUA